UACGUAGGGUGCGAGCGUUGUCCGGAUUUACUGGGCGUAAAGAGCGCGCAGGCGGUCGUUCAAGUCGCGUGUGAAAGCCCCCGGCUCAACUGGGGAGGGUCACGCGAUACUGAUCGACUCGAAGGCAGGAGAGGGUAGUGGAAUUCCCGGUGUAGUGGUGAAAUGCGUAGAUAUCGGGAGGAACACCAGUGGCGAAGGCGACUCACUGGCCCGAUACUGACGCUGAGGCGCGAAAGCGUGGGGAGCAAACAGGG
rnacentral:rRNA from 1 species